UACGUAGGGUGCAAGCGUUAAUCGGAAUUACUGGGCGUAAAGCGUGCGCAGGCGGUUUUGUAAGUCUGUCGUGAAAGCCCCGGGCUCAACCUGGGAAUGGCGUUUGGGACUGGGUCGCUAGAGUGUGGCAGAGGGAGGUGGAAUUCCACGUGUAGCAGUGAAAUGCGCAGAUAUCAGGAGGAACACCGGUGGCGAAGGCGGGUCUCUGGGCCGAUACUGACGCUGAGGAGCGAAAGCGUGGGGAGCAAACAGG
rnacentral:rRNA from 1 species